rnacentral:tRNA from 3 species
AAGAGAUUAGUUAAAAUAUAACAUUAAUUUGUCAAAUUAAAAUUAUUUAUAAAUAUCACUUA